CCGAGUACAAGCAGCAGGUGUAUGGAGGCCUACCUUCAGGUUGGAGAGCUGACCAAACGUCUUGGCGCAGACAUUACACUCAUACUUGAUCUUGCCAUUCUGCUUCUUCAGCGGAAAGUUCCUUUCUUUGAAGAGGCACCACCUUCCUUCAGACCCCAGAGCUUUCUUUACACACAGACAGUCAAUACCUGGUCAUCUGCAGCCGGAGUCUCCAAGAGGUGCCCCAGCUUGUUCACCCCAGAGAGCGCUACAGGGCAGCAAGCUAUUGCUUUAUUCUUAAGUCACACACUGGCUGUGUGAUCCUUUCUCUAUUUCUCUCCAGCGUUAUCAGAAAUGAAAAGGAACCCUGUCCCUUUAAUACAGGCAGUAAACAGCAGAUUCAGUUUCUUUUAAGAGUGACUUCCUGUGAAUUGUGAGGGGGAUGUAUGUGGCUUCAUCAAAGCAGCCUGUGAGAGCUUCCGCGGUGUGUCUUGUUAAGAGAAAAUGUAACAAGACUGGGUGAAUUCAGCUAUCAAGAGGGGUUUUCAAGUUUGUUUACUCUGACGCGCAAACUUCCAGGAACAUGGGGUUCCAGUGCUCUCGCACUAGGGCGGAAACUGCUAGCCUCGGCUGUGUUGAUCCCGGUCAGCUUCCACGACUACAAUUUAGUGUAUCCUCAUUUAAAAACAGACCCGUGGAUGUCAUAAAGUCACACACACCCCAAGAAAAUAAAAUCAUGCAUUUGUAAAAUGUA